rnacentral:rRNA from 1 species
UACGUAGGUGGCAAGCGUUGUCCGGAAUCAUUGGGCGUAAAGCGCGCGUAGGUGGCCCCAUAAGUCCGCUGUGAAAGUCAAAGGCUCAACCUUUGAAAGCCGGUGGAUACUGUGGGACUAGAGUACGGAAGAGGCGAGUGGAAUUCCUGGUGUAGCGGUGGAAUGCGCAGAUAUCAGGAGGAACACCAAUAGCGAAGGCAGCUCGCUGGGACGUUACUGACACUGAGGCGCGAAAGCGUGGGGAGCGAACAGG